ensembl:lncRNA
AUGUUCAAAUUACAACGUUCUGGAGUUGUGUUUAGUGUGAGCUGUAACUAAAAAUCAACUGUCAAGAGUCUUCGGAAAGACCGUGGCCACCACCUUCAGUUCCAGUUCCAGAAGUAUCUGAUUUACCACUGUUGGAAAUGCUCUCAAACGGUGUCACAGGAAUAAAACAGACAAUCAAAAAUGGCCCGGCAAGGCAGUCUUUAUUUCUGCAGAAGGAUGUGCUACAGACAAAGGCCUGGGAGCGAGCACACUUGAGUGGGAAGUCUGCUUGGUUUCAGAAGUGGAGACGGAAAUGGCAACCCACUCUAGUAUUUUUGCCUGGAGAAUCCUAUGGACAGAGAAACCUGGCUGGCUGCAGGCUCUGGGGUCGCAAGAGUUGGACACAACUUAGCGACUAAACCACCAGGUUUCAGAAGGGAACAAAAUUUGGUGUAUUAUCAGAGAUAAAAAUUGUAUCCCUCCUGUUAAA